rnacentral:lncRNA from 1 species
GCGCCCUCCACUUUCUCAGGAGACUCUGGGCACCUAACUGCUCCCGCGGAGUCCGGAGAAGACGAGGGAGGAGGUGGGGCUACGGCUGCACAUGCGCAGAGGGAGCCCGGAAUCCCCUUCCCAGAGCGCCGCGCGGGGAGCCGGAAGGAGUCAAGACUACGUUUCCCGUAGGCCUCCGCGUCCACUGUUGAGGUCGCUGUUUAAGCGCCCCCGCUUGUCAGGAACCUGGGGAGUGAUGUUCUCUCCGAGCCCGAACCCGAGCCCGAAGAGGUUAAGGGUUAAACCUGAGCUCUGCCGCCAAACGCGAGGGGUGGUCCUCUAUUGGCUCACGAUUGAAAUAGCAUUUUUUUUGGCCAAAAAGUACAAGCAUAGUAGGAACUCAUGCCAGCAGGAAUAUGCAAGUCAAAGCUCAGCAGUUCUAAUCUUCCCCCCUUCAAUGUACCCCUGCUCUACACAAGGCCAUUCUCUGGGGGAGUAUCCUGGGAACAAAC